GUAUGUACAUAAGCAUGUACAUAUUUACUCACAUAAAAUACCUAUGUAUACGUCAAAAUGCAACAAAUAAUAUGAGAGAGGAAAGAAGAAUGCAGAACGCAGAGACUGGUAGAAGGGGCAGGAGAAGACUGGGCGAAGCAAAGAAGUAGCAGAAGGCGCUGCUUGGGGCCUGAGGCCUGUGCCUCGACGUUUUGUUGGGGCCUCCAACGCCAACACUGGCGUACACAAGCACAUCACCGGCGCAACCGCGUAGCGCAGUGUAGCUGCAGAUAAAUAUGGGGUAAAUAAUAAACUAAAAUUAAAGUUAGAGCGGGUAGAUGAAGUAGCUAAUUACUUGCUCCUAAAAUGAUUCUUUACAAUUAUCUAAUCGUCACUAAAAACGUACUUGUCAUGGAAAAUGAUGAAAUAAGCAUAAAAAUACCCGAAUCAACCGAUAGCAAUAAACUUAUAAACAAUAAAUCUUAAAGUGGAAUAGAAGGCGUCGAGGCGGGGGCGAGAGGGACCUGCUGCAGGAAACGGGGGACUGGGAAGUGGGCGCACGUUGCUUUGGAGAGAGAUGGAACGAGAGAGCGAGAUAAAGCGACGAAGACUGUGCGCCGUACUCUGGCAGACAAACUGGCAGGCGGCUCCUCCUCUACCUUUCCACCGUCUAUCUUCUUCCUCGGCUGCGCCCCAAGCAGCGCAGCAUAAAGCGCCACACUUGCAUGUACGUGUGUGUGUGCGAUUACGAGUUCCAUCUCACACUCGUGCUCGCCAUCCCCGGCCCCCACUCUACCGUUGUCCCUCUUCGUUUGGUGCUGCUUCUGGUUCUGUGUGUGUGUAUCUGUGCGGCAUUUGUAUUUUUGGUAUAAAAUUGUUGUUUAAACAAACAGGUUUUGUUUUUUACACCGCAGCCACAUAACUCGUCAGUCGAGCUCGCCGUCUCCCGCUCCCACUCCCGCUCCCGCUCCCGUUUCUGUUGCUAAGAUCUCUCCCUCCUAGUCUCCCGCCUUGCAACCCUUUUUUAUUUUCAGUGCUACACAUUGUAUGCCGGCACCGCCAACGCCUCCACUUGCAGCCUUUGUGCGCCGUUGUCGAUUUUCUAUUGGAAAUUUAGCAGACAAAACGGCAGCAGCUGAAUGCUAAGGGGUCGUAAGACCAACGAGAGUUUACCUAAUUUAACGUUGCCAGCCCUAGCGCUAGCGCCAGUUUUGAUUUUGACGGUUGGAUCUGUAACCCUGGAAAAGCAAAGCUCUCUUAGGCCAAGCGGGAACUGAGCAAGAGUACUUUUGGGAUCCACUGCUUUCCUCAUUUGCCAGUAGAAUGCCAGUUAAUCUCUCUCUAUCUCUCAUCUCCCUGCUCAAAAAACGGCGCCCCAACGGCGCCAGCAGCAACAGCGGCAGGUCGGUGGCAAUCGGCAAGGUGUACCUCCAGCUAAUGUUAUGUAUUGAAUUUAUUUUUGUAUUCACACGUUCGAAAACUGAGCGAGAUGGAGAGCUGCGUGUAGGUGUGUGUGUGUGAAUAAACGCGUGGAACACUCGCUGGCGCUGCCAGGGAGAGAAAACGACAAAAAAAGAGCGGAUGGGGCUUGAGAGAGAACGUCGGAUUACUUGUUGACAGAGGGAGCAGAGAGAUUGUCGAGCUGGCUGAAAAUGAAAAGCGGCAACGACGCAUGCGAUCGCCACCAGACAGAAUGUCGCCAGUUCAUACUACGCCGCCAGACAUACUGUCGUCGUUCCUACGCCGCCGUCGACGCCUGCAGAUCGCUGCCCACACCCCCUUGACGCCUCGGCGCCCCACUUUUCACCCCCCGCUCCUUGGCCCCCACAUUUAAGCACUAACUUAAUUAUAAAAUUAAAAAACAACUAUUUUCUAAUCUUUUAUACAUAUUUAAGGAUCAAUCUAGGCUAUACACCGAACUGCGGUAGAAAUAUUUACGGAAAAAAUAUAAUAAAUAAUACUAAUAUGUACAUAAUAAUGUAAUUAUAUUUAAUAAAUAUGAGAAGUAUAUAAUAUAAUACAAAAUUGGCAAUAAUUGAAAUUAAAUCAAGACUCAAAUCAUGACAUAUUAGAUGAAAAACAAC